ensembl:lncRNA
ACUAAGUCAGCUUCACUUAUUUUUCAGAUGGAAAGAGCAUGUUGAGGUGCAGCCAGCGGUAUCAGUGACUCGUCUGGUGUUGGUGCCCAGAGCACUGCAAGAUCAUUUCCAUGGCUUCCUGGGGUCACCACAGCCCUUGGGUCUGGCUGUGGCACGACGGAGCCGAGUGCCUGUCCCGACAGCCAGAGGCACAGCCCCAGCCAGGGCCCCUCGAGCUGUGCUGUGUUCAGUCUAAACUCAUCAGGCCCUGGACACUUGCAUUUUCAUUUGUGUUUGAAACGGAAAUAGUUUUUAGGGAGAACUCUAGCAACAGAAAAGUUGCUUCCCAGGCACAGCUUUUGCUCCCUGGGCAUCACCUUCCACAGCAGAUGGUCCUGGCGGGCUGGAGAGCAGCCAAGGGGCUCAGGGCACCUCCCAGGUGUUGUAGCCUGGCCGGGGCUCUGCCUGGCAUGCAGGUCUGCCUGCUGCAAGCUCUGUCCAGAUAUGCUUCACCAUCCCUUUCAAGGCUGGGGGCUUGAGAGGGGUCAGUUCUGUUCAGAAAACCAGGCAGGCCUCAAUAACCUCUUCUGAAUGUCUUAAGGAACUGUCACAACUUUACUUGGGAAGUCAUAUCAGCUGCCUUGGGAGGAAAACCUGAAACCUGAUGAGGGAAUCCUGAAAUGAAUGUCACUUGUCUACUAGGUGACCUGAAUUGGAAACACCUCCCUUCUUGGCAGUGCCAGCUGAGUUACAACCGUUGGCUAGUCAGAAGCCUUAGCAUACAAGAUGGCAUAGCUGAGCAGCGUAAAAAACAGGAACCAAAACCAAACCCUGCUGAAGCACUACACCCAGACAGCUCGAGUCUCACUAGCAAUGCAUCACGGGCAGCACAUAGAGAUUGUCACGUUGAUGCCGAGGUUUCCGUUGUCAGCAAAAAGGUGUGCGGUAGCUGUAUCAAAAACGAGGCAGUUGCUGCUGCGGAUGGCCACGGACACGCCGUCGUGGAUGGAGCAGGGAGACGCCUCCCAGGUCAGCCGGUGGCAGCUGCCGUGCAGCUCCAGUCUGUACUGAAAGUUCUCUGCCUGCUUACGGGUGCCAAUGAGCAGCACGGUGGCAAAAAACUGCUGGUGACCUUCACACUUCUCCUGUUUCUUCAGCACCAGCAUGAAGUGGUGACCAAAGCACGACUGCAUCAUCACCCAGUCCACUGCCCCUGGCAGGUUAAUGUCUGUGGCAAGGAAAAUGAUGUCUUCUCCCUGAAGGGUGGUAAUGCUUUUGUGGGCAUGCAUGAGGUGGGACAUGACGGCUUCCAAGGACCCCUCCCAGUCACAGGAGGUACCCGGGCACGGGCAGGAGUAGGGACGGUACUCACACAUGGCUUCAUGUUUUGGCUUUUCUGUGUGGUGGAGUGCCAGGGAGCAGCCUGUUGUGGCAUACUGGAAAGAGACCAAACAGAAGCCAUCAGGAAAGGCACCAGCACUCGUAUUCGCUGCUCCCACCCGUCAACUGGAAACACAGGUGAUCAGCCAGAGCUCUCGUGCUCAUUGCAAAUUUUACAUAACUUGUAUGUAGCCUGGAUUUAAGCUGAGCUUUUACUUAGUAUUUGUUUCCACUUAAAAUGGAUUCUUCUUGUAUUUUGUGGUUGUUUUUUCCUAACACAAGCACUCAGAUAAAAUGGGCUGUACGGCUGAGUUGUAGUUAGAUCUGCUGUUGCAGUUAGAUCUGAUCCGUCCAGAUCAGCUGGAGAUGUCCUGGCUCGGAUUUUCCUUUUCUUUAAAAAGAACAGAGGAUUCUAGUUUCAACACCUGGGGUGAUGGGUGGGUGUCCUC